GCUGAAGGAGGAGCUUGCUCUUCUGGAAGAGUUGCGAACGGGUGAGUAACGCGUAGGUAACCUGCCUGGUAGCGGGGGAUAACUAUUGGAAACGAUAGCUAAUACCGCAUAAGAUUGAAUAUCGCAUGAUAAUUGAUUAAAAGAUGCAAAUGCAUCACUACCAGAUGGACCUGCGUUGUAUUAGCUAGUAGGUGAGGUAACGGCUCACCUAGGCGACGAUACAUAGCCGACCUGAGAGGGUGAUCGGCCACACUGGGACUGAGACACGGCCCAGACUCCUACGGGAGGCAGCAGUAGGGAAUCUUCGGCAAUGGGGGCAACCCUGACCGAGCAACGCCGCGUGAGUGAAGAAGGUUUUCGGAUCGUAAAGCUCUGUUGUAAGAGAAGAACGAGUGUGAGAGUGGAAAGUUCACACUGUGACGGUAUCUUACCAGAAAGGGACGGCUAACUACGUGCCAGCAGCCGCGGUAAUACGUAGGUCCCGAGCGUUGUCCGGAUUUAUUGGGCGUAAAGCGAGCGCAGGCGGUUAGAUAAGUCUGAAGUUAAAGGCUGUGGCUUAACCAUAGUACGCUUUGGAAACUGUUUAACUUGAGUGCAGAAGGGGAGAGUGGAAUUCCAUGUGUAGCGGUGAAAUGCGUAGAUAUAUGGAGGAACACCGGUGGCGGAAGCGGCUCUCUGGUCUGUAACUGACGCUGAGGCUCGAAAGCGUGGGGAGCGAACAGGAUUAGAUACCCUGGUAGUCCACGCCGUAAACGAUGAGUGCUAGGUGUUAGGCCCUUUCCGGGGCUUAGUGCCGUAGCUAACGCAUUAAGCACUCCGCCUGGGGAGUA
rnacentral:rRNA from 1 species